AGGAGGAAGAAUAAGUGGUGGAGAGUGGUGGAUAAGGUUGGAGGCAGUGUUGUAAAAGUCAAUCAAAGGCACCAGGCAAGUUGAGAGGCGAGGCGAGGUUGCUGCAACUCCUCAGGCAGAGGCGAGGCUACUGCAAAAAGGCGGCCGCCUCCAGACUUGAGAGGCGAUAGUCGACGAGGCCAUGAGGUGCCACCUUGUGAAAGUAAGGGGAAACCUAAAAUCUAUCGUGACUUACCUACCCAGUACCA
rnacentral:misc_RNA from 1 species